GUUUGUGUGUGUUUUUCAGGGAGGCAGAGCUCAGCGCAAACAGCGGCAGGCUGAGGACACCCUGAGACCGUAUCUGGGAAGGGUGGACCCAGCCCAACUGUGUGAGCUGCUGAAGUGCCAUAGUCCCAAGGGUUCCUGGUGUCAGGUGGUGAUGGAGAACGGAGCGCUUGUCCCAAAGUGUGUGUGUCCUAAGACCUGCCCAUGGCAGGGGGCGCCAGUGUGCAGUGUUCUAGGAAAGACAUACGGGAAUGAGUGUCUGCUGCAUAGAGAAGCCUGCCGCAAGAGACGUCGGAUUGGACUGGCUCAUGCAGGGUCCUGCCUAGUUUCAAAGGCAAACUGCACAGAGAAGGAGUAUGGCCAGUUCCCAUACCGCCUCAUGGACUGGUUCCUGUUAUUGAGUCGCAUGGGAGCGUCCUACGCCCCCUACGCCCCACCCCAGAACUGCCUGAGCCACACCCAGCGCACUCAUUUAGCCCAGCAAACAUUUGCCCUGCUGGACAAGAACAACGAUGGGAAGCUGAGUCAGAGAGAACUGAGGAAGUUACGCUACAAGAGAAUGCCUCUAGAACAAUGUGCUGCCUCGUUUUUACAGUCAUGUGACAGUAACAAGAACAGUAAGGUGACCCUGGCUGAAUGGAUCUCCUGUCUGGUGGAUCGCUCCGAGAGAUGGUUCCAGAGCUUCAUGUCAAUGAAAAUGGGAUCUAGUAAGCUGUGUCCCGUGAACACCAAAAACAACCUUUGAUUUGAGAAUUGACACCUCUACUGUCAUUCCUCUAUACAAUCAUCAUCAGCAGCAUCAAAGAUCAUCCCCAUGUCUCCAUCAUAUUUCUACCACUCCCUGUCACACUCAUGGGCCUACCGUGUUUGUUAUUGAUUCAUGACAUCAUCUGUUUUAUAAAGUCCACUGUACAUCCAUCUGUGUGGGGAAAUGGCCCAUAAUAAAUGUCUCUGAAGCC
rnacentral:lncRNA from 1 species